rnacentral:rRNA from 1 species
CCUACGGGAGGCAGCAGUGGGGAAUUUUGGACAAUGGGCGAAAGCCUGAUCCAGCCAUUCCGCGUGCAGGAUGAAGGCCCUCGGGUUGUAAACUGCUUUUGUACAGAACGAAAAGGUUUCUAUUAAUACUAGGAGCUCAUGACGGUACUGUAAGAAUAAGCACCGGCUAACUACGUGCCAGCAGCCGCGGUAAUACGUAGGGUGCAAGCGUUAAUCGGAAUUACUGGGCGUAAAGCGUGCGCAGGCGGUUAUAUAAGUCAGAUGUGAAAUCCCCGGGCUCAACCUGGGAACUGCAUUUGAGACUGUAUAGCUAGAGUACGGUAGAGGGGGAUGGAAUUCCGCGUGUAGCAGUGAAAUGCGUAGAUAUGCGGAGGAACACCGAUGGCGAAGGCAAUCCCCUGGACCUGUACUGACGCUCAUGCACGAAAGCGUGGGGAGCAAACAGGAUUAGAUACCCUGGUAGUCCACGCCCUAAACGAUGUCAACUGGUUGUUGGGUCUUAACUGACUCAGUAACGAAGCUAACGCGUGAAGUUGACCGCCUGGGGAGUACGGCCGCAAGGUUGAAACUCGAAAGGAUUGACGG